UACAGAGGUCUCAAGCGUUGUUCGGAUUCAUUGGGCGUAAAGGGUGCGUAGGCGGCGCGGUAAGUCGGAUGUGAAAUCUCGGAGCUUAACUUCGAAACUGCAUUCGAUACUGCCGUGCUUGAGGACUGGAGAGGAGACUGGAAUUUACGGUGUAGCGGUGGAAUGCGUAGAGAUCCAGAAGAACACCGGUGGCGAAGGCGGCCACCUGGACGGUAACUGACGCUGAGACGCGAAAGCGUGGGGAGCAAACAGG
rnacentral:rRNA from 1 species